CUACCAAGACAGUGACGGUUGACGGGGAAUCAGGGUUUGAUACCGGAGAGGGAGCCUGAGAGAUAGCUCCCACGUCCAUGGACGGCAGCAGGCGCGAAAAUUGCCCACUCUUUGUAGGAGGCAGUUAUGAGACGUGAAAUUGAAUAUUUUGUAAAGAAGAAUAGGAGAAUUGGAGGGCAAGUUUGGUGCCAGCCGCCGCGGUAUACCGACUCCAAGAGUGUGUAUGAGAGAUGCUGCAGUUAAAAAGUCCGUAGUCAUAGAAAAGUAAAUAGAAAUAAGAAGUUUCUUUAAUUAAUUAUAGAAAAGCUGAUGGGGAACAUAGUAUACCAGGGCGAGAGAUGAAAUGCCAAGACCCCUGGUGGACUAAGCGAGGCGAAAGCGAUGUUCUUGUAAGUAUUUGAUGAUCAAGGACGAAGGCUGGAGUAUCGAAAGUGAUUAGAUACCGCAGUAGUUCCAGCAGUAAAAGAUGCC
rnacentral:rRNA from 1 species